rnacentral:tRNA from 1 species
UCCCUAUCGUCUAGAGGCCUAGGACAUCGCCCUUUCACGGCGGUAACCGGGGUUCGAAUCCCCGUAGGGACGCCAU